rnacentral:rRNA from 1 species
UACGAAGGGGGCUAGCGUUGCUCGGAAUUACUGGGCGUAAAGCGCACGUAGGCGGAUUGUUAAGUCGGGGGUGAAAUCCUGGAGCUCAACUCCAGAACUGCCUUUGAUACUGGGAAUCUCGAGUCCGGGAGAGGUGAGUGGAACUGCGAGUGUAGAGGUGAAAUUCGUAGAUAUUCGCAAGAACACCAGUGGCGAAGGCGGCUCGCUGGCCCGGUACUGACGCUGAGGUGCGAAAGCGUGGGGAGCAAACAGG